GAACGUGGGUUGCCAAAUAAUGCAAAUCGAGCGGAACAAAGGGCAGCUUGGUCCCGGAAUGUUAUCGGCGUCAAGGGUGAGUAACACGUGGGUAACCUGCCUGUGAGACUGGGAUAACUCCGGGAAACCGGAGCUAAUACCGGAUAGUUCCUUGAACCGCAUGGUUCAAGGAUGAAAGACGGUUUCGGCUGUCACUUACAGAUGGACCCGCGGCGCAUUAUCUAGUUGGUGAGGUAACGGCUCACCAAGGCGACAAUGCGUAUCCGACCUGAGAGGGUGAUCGGCCACACUGGGACUGAGACACGGCCCACACUCCUACGGGAGGCAGCACUAUGGAAUCUUCCGCAAUGGACAAAAGUCUGACAGAGCAACGCCCCGUGAGUGAUGAAGGUUUUCGGAUCGUAAAGCUCUGUUGUUAGGGAAGAACAAGUGCAAGAGUAACUGCUUGCACCUUGACGGUACCUAACCAGAAAGCCACGGCUAACUACGUGCCACCAGCCGCGGUAAUACGUAUGUGGCAAGCGUUGUCCGGAAUUAUUGGGCGUAAAGGGCUCGCACGCGGUUUCUUAAGUCUGAUGUGAAAGCCCCCGGCUCACCCGGGGAGGGUCAUUGUAAACUGGGAAACUUGAGUGCACAAAAGGAGAGUGGAAUUCCCCGUGUAUCGGUGAAAUGCGUAUAGAUGUGGAGGAACACCACUGGCGAAAGCGACUCUCUGGUCUGUAACUGACACUCAGGAGCGAAAGCGUGGGGAGCGAACAGGAUUAUAUACCCUCGUAGUCCACAAAAA
rnacentral:rRNA from 1 species